AAAAGAUCAAAGCUGGGUCGCAAGACCUGGUGCUUCAGGAUAAGCCCGCGACCUAUCAGCUAGUUGGCAGGGUAACGGCCUACCAAGGCAAAGACGGGUAGCUGGUCUGAGAGGACGACCAGCCACACUGGAACUGAGACACGGUCCAGACACCUACGGGUGGCAGCAGUCGAGAAUUUUUCACAAUGGGCGAAAGCCUGAUGGAGCGACGCCGCGUGGGGGAUGAAUGGCUUCGGCCCGUAAACCCCUGUCAUUCGGGAUCAAUGCGCCUGGUCUAAUACAUCAGGCGUUGAUAGUACCGGAAGAGGAAGGGACGGCUAACUCUGUGCCAGCAGCCGCGGUAAUACAGAGGUCCCAAGCGUUGUUCGGAUUCACUGGGCGUAAAGGGUGCGUAGGCGGCCAGGUAAGUCUGGUGUGAAAUCUCGGAGCUUCAACUUCCGAAACGGGACUUGGAAACUCUCUUGGCUUUGAAGGUUGGGAAGGGGGGAACUGGAAAUUCU
rnacentral:rRNA from 1 species